rnacentral:rRNA from 1 species
AAUGGGCCCGCGUUAGAUUAGCUAGAUGGUAAGGUAAUGGCUUACCAUGGCGACGAUCUAUAGCUGGUUUGAGAGGAUGAUCAGCCACACUGGGACUGAGACACGGCCCAGACUCCUACGGGAGGCAGCAGUGGGGAAUAUUGGACAAUGGGGGCAACCCUGAUCCAGCGAUGCCGCGUGUGUGAUGAAGGCCUUAGGGUUGUAAAACACUUUCAGAUGGGAUGAUAAUGACAGUACCAUCAGAAGAAGCUCCGGCUAACUCCGUGCCAGCAGCCGCGGUAAUACGGAGGGAGCUAGCGUUGUUCGGAAUUACUGGGCGUAAAGCGCGCGUAGGCGGCUUGACAAGUUGAGGGUGAAAUCCCGGGGCUUAACCUCGGAACUGCCCUCAAAACUGUUGAGCUAGAGACAUGGAGAGGUGAGUAGAGUUCCUAGUGUAGAGGUGAAAUUCGUAGAUAUUAGGAAGAAUACCAGUGGCGAAGGCGGCUCACUGGGCCAUGUACUGACGCUGAGGUGCGAAAGCGUGGGGAGCGAA